rnacentral:rRNA from 1 species
CUAAGGGCUUAUGGUGGAUGCCUUGGUGCCAAGAGGCGAUGAAGGACGUAGUAAGUUGCGAUAAGCCACGGGGAGCCGCAAGCAGGCUUUGAUCCGUGGAUCUCCGAAUGGGAAAACCCACUCCAGGUAACACUGGAGUAUCGCCGGAUGAAUUCAUAGUCCGGCGAGGCAAGACGGGGUGAAGUGAAACAUCUCAGUAACCCCAGGAAAAGAAAACGAAGCGAUUCCGUCAGUAGUGGCGAGCGAAAGCGGAACAGCCUAAACCGGGAGGACUAGUCUUCCCGGGGUUGAGGGACCUUAAUGUGGGAGGUGGCGAGCGAGCUUAACCAUCUGGAAAGUUGGGCCAGAGACCGUGACAGCCGGGUGAGCGAAGUUCAAAGCCCCCUAGAGGUAUCCCAAGUAAUGCGGUGCACGUGAAACUCUGCAUGAAUCCGUCCGGACCACCGGAUAAGGCUAAAUACUCCUUGGCAACCGAUAGUGAACUAGUACCGCGAGGGAAAGGUGAAAAGAACCGCUGCUAGCGGAGUGAAAUAGUACCUGAAACCAUAUGCCUACAAUGUGUAGGAGCCGGCUCCAUUCCGGAGCCCGUUCCGGCCGCAAGGCUGGGGCCUGACUUCGGAAUGGAGCCGGUGACUGCCUGCCUUUUGCAUAAUGAGUCUGCGAGUUAUUGUCCGUGGCCAGCUUAAGCCGUUCUGCGGCGGAGGCGAAGGGAAACCGAGUGCCAAUAGCGCGACCAAGUCGCGGGCAAUAGACCCGAAGCGGAGGUGAUCUACUCUUGAGCAGGUUGAAGCCUGGGUAAUACCAGGUGAAGGACCGAACUCGUGGAUGUUGAAAAAUCCUGAGAUGACUUGAGAGUAGGAGCGAAAGACUAAUCAAACCCCGUGAUAGCUGGUUCUCUCCGAAAUCGCUUGAGGGCGAGUGUUGUGGAAGUACUCCAUGGAGGUAGAGCACUGAAUGGCUUAGGGACCCCACCAGGUUACCAAAACCAAUCAAACUCCGAAUGCCAUGGAUCUCAGUAUCACAGCAGUUAGGCAGUGGGCGAUAAGGUUCAUUGCCGAGAGGAAAACAGUCCAGACCAUCAGCUAAGGUGCCCCAAUGUGAUUAAGUGGAAAGGAUGUGACGUUGCUUAGACAGUGAGGAUGUUGGCUUAGAGGCAGCCAUCAUUUAAACAGUGCGUAACAGCUGACUCAUCGAGCGAUGUCGCGCCGAAAAUGAUUGGCGAUUAAAUCACAUACCGAAGCUAUGGAUUCGCAGGAUUUUCGAAUCCUGCGAGUGGUAGGAGAGCGUAAUUAGCGCGGCGAAGCCGGACGGAAACGGACGGUGGAGCGCUGAUUAGUGAGAAUGCAGACACGAGUAGCGAUAAACCAGGUGAGAAUCCUGGUCGCCGUAAACCCAAGGUUUCCUGGGCCAGGUUCGUCCUCCCAGGGUUAGCCGGGAGCUAACGCGAGGCCGUAAGGCGUAGCGGAUGCACAGCAGGUUAAAUAUUCCUGCGCCGGGUAAGAAUUAGCUAUGCGAUGACGCAACGGAACACAUCGGCUAGGCAAUCGAAUGCUGAGCUUAGGCUUCGGCCGAAGCGCACCGGUGGAGAAGUUGCCGAGAAAAGUUGCAUAGUAUGUCUUAUUCGCCCGUACCGCAAACCGACACAGGUGGGUGAGUGUAAGCGCACUCAGGCGCGCGAGAGAAACCUCUCUAAGGAACUCGGCACAUUAGCCCCGUAACUUCGGGAGAAGGGGUGCCCAAAAAGGUUGCAGCAAUGUAGCCUUGGCGGGCCUCAGUAAAUUGCGUUUGGCGACUGUUUAACAAAAGCACAGCACUCUGCCAAGUCGUGAAGACGACGUAUAGGGUGUGACACGUGACCAAUGCUGAAAGAUUAAGAGAUCUUGUUAGCCGCAAGGCGAAGCUCGGUCUUUAAGUCCCAGUGAAUGUCGGCCGUAACUAUAACGGUCCUAAGGUAGCGAAAUUCCUUGUCGGGUAAGUUCCGACCUGCACGAAUCGUGUAACGACCGAACGACUGUCUCGGAGAGGAUCUCGGCGAAACUGUAACGGCGGUGAAGAUGCCGCCUGCCCGCAGUAGGACGGGAAGACCCUAUGCACCUUUACUGUAAGCUCGUAUUGUGUCUUGAUUAUUCAUGCGUAGCGUAGGUGGGAGACUUCGAAGCGGGGGCCUCGGUUCCCGUGGAGUCGCAAUGUGAAACACCACUCUUGGCUAAUUAGGAUUCUAACCUCACUCUGUCAUCCAGAUGAGGGACCGUGCGUGCGGGUCAGUUUGACUGGGGCGGUUUCCUCCGAAAGAGUAACGGAGGAGCGCUAAGCUUGGCUCAGCAUGGUUGGCAACCAUGCGUCGAGCGUAUGGGUAGAAGCCAGGUUAACUGUGAGACCAACAAGUCGAGCAGGUGCGAAAGCAGGCCCAAAUGAUCCGACGGUUUAAUGUGGAAUUGCCGUCGCUCAACGGACAAAAGGUACGCUAGGGAUAACAGGCUGAUCGAGUCCAAGAGUUCAUAUCGACGACUCGGUUUGGCACCUCGAUGUCGACUCGUCGCAUCCUGGGGCUGAAGAAGGUCCCAAGGGUCCGGCUGUUCGCCGGUUAAAGCGGCACGCGAGUUGGGUUCAGAACGUCGUGAGACAGUUCGGUCCUUAUCCACUGUGGGCGCAGGAAACUUGAGGGGUUCAAAUCUUAGUACGAGAGGACCAGAUUUGACGCACUUCUGGUGUGGCAAUUGUCGCGUCAGCGGCAGCGUUGCGUAGCCAUGUGCGGAAGAGAUAAGCGCUGAAUGCAUCUAAGUGCCAAGCUCAUCCCAAGAUAAUGUUUCCCGAACCGCAAGGUUCCUAAAGACCCCCGGCAGACUACCGGGUUGAUAGGUUAGGCGUGUAAGCGGAGUGAUCCGUUCAGCGGACUAAUACUAAUCGGUCGUGCGGCUUGAUC